UACGUAGGGGGCAAGCGUUGUCCGGAUUUAUUGGGCGUAAAGAGCGUGUAGGCGGCCAGAUAGGUCAGCUGUGAAAACUCGAGGCUCAACCUCGAGAUGUCGGCUGAAACCAUCUGGCUAGAGUCCGGAAGAGGAGAAUGGAAUUCCCGGUGUAGCGGUGAAAUGCGCAGAUAUCGGGAAGAACACCCGUGGCGAAGGCGGGUUCUCUGGGACGGUACUGACGCUGGAGACGCGAAAGCGUGGGGAGCGAACAGG
rnacentral:rRNA from 1 species